rnacentral:rRNA from 1 species
UACGUAGGUGGCAAGCGUUGUCCGGAUUUACUGGGCGUAAAGGAUGCGUAGGCGGACAUUUAAGUCAGAUGUGAAAUACCCCGAGCUUAACUUGGGUGCUGCAUUUGAAACUGGGUGUCUAGAGUGCAGGAGAGGUAAGUGGAAUUCCUAGUGUAGCGGUGAAAUGCGUAGAGAUUAGGAAGAACACCAGUGGCGAAGGCGACUUACUGGACUGUAACUGACGCUGAGGCAUGAAAGCGUGGGGAGCAAACAGG